rnacentral:SRP_RNA from 1 species
GCCGGGCGUGGUGGCGUGUGCCUGUAAUCCCAGCUACUUGGGAGGCUGAGGCAGGGGAAUUGCUUGAACCCGGGAGGCUGAGGUUGCAGUGAGCUGAGAUCGUGCCACUGCACUCCAGCCUGGCGACAGAGCAAGACUCCGUCUCAA